CCUACGGGUGGCUGCAGUGGGGAAUAUUGGACAAUGGGCGAAAGCCUGAUCCAGCCAUGCCGCGUGUGUGAAGAAGGCCUUCGGGUUGUAAAGCACUUUCAGUGGGGAAGAAAGCCUUGGGGCUAAUACCCUCGAGGAAGGACAUCACCCACAGAAGAAGCACCGGCUGACUCCGUGCCAGCAGCCGCGGUAAUACGGAGGGUGCGAGCGUUAAUCGGAAUUACUGGGCGUAAAGCGCGCGUAGGCGGUCUGAUAAGCCGGUUGUGAAAGCCCCGGGCUCAACCUGGGAACGGCAUCCGGAACUGUCAGGCUAGAGUGCAGGAGAGGAAGGUAGAAUUCCCGGUGUAGCGGUGAAAUGCGUAGAGAUCGGGAGGAAUACCAGUGGCGAAGGCGGCCUUCUGGACUGACACUGACGCUGAGGUGCGAAAGCGUGGGUAGCAAACAGGAUUAGAUACCCGAGUAGUC
rnacentral:rRNA from 1 species